rnacentral:rRNA from 1 species
ACUCAAAUGAAUUGACGGGGGCCCGCACAAGCGGCGGAGCAUGCGGCUUAAUUCGAUGCAACGCGAAGAACCUUACCUGGGUUUGACAUGCAGGGUGAAAUCGUCGAAAGACGACGCUCUUCGGAGCCUGCACAGGUGGUGCAUGGCUGUCGUCAGCUCGUGCCGUGAGGUGUUGCCUUAAGUGGCGCAACGAGCGCAACCCCUGUCCUUAGUUGCCAGCGGAUCAUGCCGGGAACUCUAGGGAGACUGCCGGUGCCAAACCGGAGGAAGGUGGGGAUGACGUCAAGUCAGCAUGCCCCUUAUAUCCAGGGCUGCACGCAUGCUACAAUGCGCGAUACAGAGGGCUGCGAUCCCGUAAGGGGGAGCGAAUCCCAAAAAGUCGCGCUCAGUUCGGAUCGAGGUCUGCAACCCGACCUCGUGAAGUCGGAGUCGCUAGUAAUCGCAGAUCAGCAAUGCUGCGGUGAAUACGUUCCCGGGCCUUGUACACACCGCCCGU